rnacentral:rRNA from 1 species
CAGCGAUGUGGAGCAAACCCCUAAAAAUGGUCUCAGUUCAGAUUGCAGGCUGCAACCCGCCUGCAUGAAGUCGGAAUUGCUAGUAAUCGCGGAUCAGCAUGCCGCGGUGAAUACGUUCCCGGGCCUUGUACACACCGCCCGUCACACCAUGAGAGUUAGGAAUACCCGAAGCCUGUGAGCUAACUUUAAUAGAGGCAGCAGUCGAAGGUAGAACUAAUGAUUGGGGUGAAGUCGUAACAAGGUAUC